GGAUUAGGCAUGCAAGUCGAACGAGGACAUAUCCUUCGGGAUAUAAGCCGAGUGGCGAAAGGGUGAGUAAUGCAUAGACAACCUGCCUUUAGGAUAAGAAUAACUCUGUGAAAGCGGGGCUAAUACUUAAUAACACAGAAGAAAAUAAUUUUCUUUUGUCAAAGGGAGGGUAGUAAUACCUUUUGCCUGGAGAGGGGUUUAUGUCCUAUCAGCUUGUUGGUGGGGUAACGGCUUACCAAGGCAUUGACGGGUAGCCGACCUGAGAGGGUGGUCGGCCACAUUGGGACUGAGACACUGCCCAGACUCCUACGGGAGGCUGCAGUCGUGAAUCUUUCGCAAUGCCCGAAAGG
rnacentral:rRNA from 1 species